AACGAACGCUGGCGGCAUGCCUAACACAUGCAAGUCGAACGAGACCUUCGGGUCUAGUGGCGCACGGGUGCGUAACGCGUGGGAACCUGCCCUUAGGUUCGGAAUAACUCCCCGAAAGGGGUGCUAAUACCGGAUAAUGUCUUCGGACCAAAGAUUUAUCGCCUUUGGAUGGGCCCGCGUUGGAUUAGCUAGUUGGUAGGGUAAAAGCCUACCAAGGCGACGAUCCAUAGCUGGUCUGAGAGGAUGAUCGGCCACACUGGGACUGAGACACGGCCCAGACUCCUACGGGAGGCAGCAGUGGGGGAUAUUGGACAAUGGGCGAAAGCCUGAUCCAGCAAUGCCGCGUGAGUGAUGAAGGCCUUAGGGUUGUAAAGCUCUUUUACCCGGGAUGAUAAUGACAGUACCGGGAGAAUAAGCUCCGGCUAACUCCGUG
rnacentral:rRNA from 1 species